UACGAAGGGGGCUAGCGUUGUUCGGAAUUACUGGGCGUAAAGGGCUCGUAGGUGGCCAACUAAGUCGGACGUGAAAUCCCUCAGCUUAACUGGGGAACUGCGUCCGAUACUGGAUGGCUCGAGUUUGGGAGAGGGAUGCGGAAUUCCAGGUGUAGCGGUGAAAUGCGUAGAUAUCUGGAGGAACACCGGUGGCGAAGGCGGCAUCCUGGACCAACACUGACACUGAGGAGCGAAAGCCAGGGGAGCAAACGGG
rnacentral:rRNA from 1 species